rnacentral:rRNA from 1 species
GAUGAACGCUGACAGAAUGCUUAACACAUGCAAGUCUACUUGAACUUCGGUUUGGGUGGCGGACGGGUGAGUAACGCGUAAAGAACUUGCCUCACAGAUAGAGACAACAUUUGGAAACGAAUGCUAAUACCUGAUAUUAUGAUUUUAGGGCAUCCUAGAAUUAUGAAAGCUAUAUGCACUGUGAGAGAGCUUUGCGUCCCAUUAGCUAGUUGGAGAGGUAACGGCUCACCAAGGCGAUGAUGGGUAGCCGGCCUGAGAGGGUGAUCGGCCACAAGGGGACUGAGACACGGCCCUUACUCCUACGGGAGGCAGCAGUGGGGAAUAUUGGACAAUGGACCAAGAGUCUGAUCCAGCAAUUCUGUGUGCACGAUGAAGUUUUUCGGAAUGUAAAGUGCUUUCAGUUGGGAAGAAAAAAAUGACGGUACCAACAGAAGAAGUGACGGCUAAAUACGUG